rnacentral:tRNA from 1 species
GUCGCGCAAGAUCAUAGUGGUGGAUCACCUGCUUCUUGAGAGCAGGAGGUGCUGGGUUCGAUUCCCAGGCGUGGCC